rnacentral:rRNA from 1 species
GUAACGAGCGCAACCCUGUCCUUAGUUUACCAGCACGUUAUGGUGGGCGACUCUAAGGAGACUGCCGGGUGGACAAACCGGAGGAAGGUGGGGAUGACGUCAAGUCAUCAUGGCCCUUACGGCCUGGGCUACACACGUGCUACAAUGGUCGGUACAAAGGGUUGCCAAGCCGCGAGGUGGAGCUAAUCCCAUAAAACCGAUCGUAGUCCGGAUCGCAGUCUGCAACUCGACUGCGUGAAGUCGGAAUCGCUAGUAAUCGUGAAUCAGAAUGUCACGGUGAAUACGUUCCCGGGCCUU